rnacentral:rRNA from 1 species
UACGAAGGGUGCAAGCGUUACUCGGAAUUACUGGGCGUAAAGCGUGCGUAGGUGGUUGUUUAAGUCUGCUGUGAAAGCCCUGGGCUCAACCUGGGAAUUGCAGUGGAUACUGGGCGACUAGAGUGUGGUAGAGGAUAGUGGAAUUUCCGGUGUAGCAGUGAAAUGCGUAGAGAUCGGAAGGAACAUCUGUGGCGAAGGCGACUAUCUGGGCCAACACUGACACUGAGGCACGAAAAGCGUGGGGGA